GCAUAGCGGUAUCCUGAGUAACGCGGGACACGAGGAAUCCUGCGCGAAUCUGCCGGGACCAUCCGGUAAGGCUAAAUACUCCCGUGAGACCGAUAGCGAACGAGUACUGUGAAGGAAAGGUGAAAAGAACCCCGAGCAGGGGAGUGAAAUAGUUCCUGAAACCAUACGCCUACAAGCGGUCGGAGCACAGCAAUGUGUGACGGCGUGCCUUUUGCAUAAUGAUCCUACGAGUUACCGUCACUGGCGAGGUUGAGUGUCACGAGACACGUAGCCGCAGUGAAAGCGAGCCUGAAGAGGGCGCACAGUCAGUGGGGGUAGACGCGAAACCAAGUGAUCUACACUUGGCCAGGAUGAAGUCCCGGUAACACGGGAUGGAGGUCCGCACCAAUAAGCGUUGAAAAGCUUCUGGAUGAGCCGAGUGUAGGAGUGAAAGGCCAAUCAAACUUGGAGAUAGCUCGUACUCCCCGAAAGGCAUUUAGGUGCCGCGUCGGAUGGUCACCGUGAGAGGUAGAGCGACCGAUAGGACAAGAGGGCUUCACCGCCUAUCGAGUCCUGACGAACUCCGAAUGCUCACGGUUUGCAGUCCGGCAGUAAGGGGGCGGGUGCUAAGGUCCGUCCCCGAGAGGAGAAGAAUCCAGACCGCCGUCUAAGGUCCCGGAGUUCUGCCUGAGUUAGUCUAACGAAGUCUGGUCCCUAUGACAGCUAGGAUGUUGGCUUGGAAGCAGCCAUUCAUUCAAAGAGUGCGUAACAGCUCACUAGUCGAGGGUCCGGGCAUGGAUAAUAAUCGGGUAUAAGGCAGACACCGAAGGCGCGGGAUAGCAAUUUUAAAAGUAUCGGUAGGGGAGCAUACUCACAGCGUCGAAUGGUGUACGUAAGUUAUCCUGGAGCGGUGAGUAAAGCAAAUGUAGGAAUAAGUAACGAUAAGGAGGGUUAGAUUCCCUCCCGCUGUAAGACCAAGGUUUCCCGGGCAAUGCCAAUCAGCCCGGGGUCAGUCGGGUCCUAAGUCUAAGCCGAACGGCGAUGGCGAUGGCAGAGACGGUUAAUAUUCCGUCACUGCCGCAUGGGGCGACGUGGAGACGGAGCAGUGAAACCACCGCGGGGCGACGGAAGUCCCCGUUGAAGGGUGUAGGCGUUGAGGAUGGCAGGCAAAUCCACCGUCCGAGCUGAACCUGACAGUACGGAGUCCUCCUCGGAGGAAUCUGAUAGUGUGGGUAAUCAUACUCCCGAGAAAAUCCGCUAAGCUUAACCCAUGCGGCACCCGUACCGCAAACGGACACACGUGGUCGGGUAGAACAUACUAAGGCGUUGAGAGAUUCAUGGUUAAGGAACUAGGCAAAUUGACCCUGUAACUUCGGGAUAAAGGGUCCUCGUGAUGAGCGAGGCGCAGAGAAUAGGUCCAGGCAACUGUUUAACAAAAACACAGGGCUGUGCAAACUCGAAAGAUGACGUAUACAGCCUGACACCUGCCCGGUGCCGGAAGGUUAAGAGGAGAUGUCACUCGCAAGAGGAAGCAUUGAAUUGAAGCCCCGGUAAACGGCGGCCGUAACUAUAACGGUCCUAAGGUAGCGAAAUUCCUUGUCGGGU
rnacentral:rRNA from 1 species